UGUAACUCAUCUGGACAGGUAGUUUUCAUCCUAUAAGGCAAUUUGGACGUCCAUUUCCGGGACAAUAAGAAGUAGUGCUCCAUAUCGGCGGUGCAUUACUUCAGGGACACAACGGGUGAACUUGUCAGGAAAAUCCUGGAUGAGUUUUUCCGUGACACACUCGGCAAGAGGCCCAAUUAUAAGGACUGGCCUAAAUACUGGAUCUAGAAAAGAGAGAGAGAGAGAAUUAAUCCUUCGAAUCUGAAGCUCAUCUAAAUAAUAUUUAAACCCAUUACCAUUACAAAGAUAAAAUAUAAACUCUAUGGGCAAAAUACAGAGCUACUGAACAUUAAAGCAGAUAGUACAUACAGCUAGCUUUCACAGUCAAAAGUAAAGUUUAAAACUAACCACAAAGAGAACAGCCCUUCUGGAGAAAAGCUGUGGCAGCUUUCAAGAACAACCCAAUCAAUGAUGUUGGAGUCAGAAAAGGUUUCAGACAAAACUCCUAUGUUUUACAAAAUAAAAGAAGCAUAAAAUCCUGCACUUACAGUCGAGCCUUUCAACACGCUGAUAUGAGCAAAGAGCCACCUCCUCAUUCAGAGUUCCAGAAUCACUGUACCACCCAAGGUUAAUGUUAGAAAAACUUGCUAGUUCCUUUGAGUCUCUAGAUGAGCUGCGUUGGUGUUUUUUCCGACGAAAAAAACUACGUCUUGCUGAUGUGGAGCCACGCCUUGCAUCAGCCUCCAAGUCACCCAAACUGCGGCGCAAAAGUAACUCUUCUUCUACCCUAUGGGAAAAAUAUCAUCAACUAUAUUACUAUACUGUGGCCAACAUCAUCAUAAUUGUCAUCGGCAUCAUCACUAUGAUCUACAUAGGUGCUGUAAGAUGAGGUCAAAAUUUUAUAUGGCUCUGGCUUGGAUCAAACCUUAAAAAAUUUGUGAUAACUAGUUAGAUUAAACAGAGAAAACAUAAAACUGCUUUUGUUAGAAAUUCAUAUGUAGUAUAGCAUGAAUUCUAAAUACUUAUACAAAUUAAAUUUUUAGCUUUUCUAAAUGUAUGCACUGUUUCCACCACAGAUUUAUUUUGUUCAAUAACAUUAAAUAGUAUAGUUAAGCCACGUAUUAAGAACAAAGCAAAAGUUUGAGGUUGGAGCUUGUAAACUUUUCAUGGAUCAGUCUUCAGCAUGGACUUCAAAAUGACAGUGCACACACCUAUUAUUAAUGUCAAGAUUUUGAUUGUAUUUUUAAUUAUGGUGAGGAAUAAAUGCUGUAUGUUUUAUGGCUUUACCUCUUGCAGAUACCACAGGCUCUUAGUAGCUUGUAUGGAGAACACAACCAAGAUUAAAUACAAUCAAACACUCCAAACCCUACCUCAACACGGUUCAGUUUUAGAUUAUCCUCUCAUUUCUUCCUUGGCCUUUGACGCUGACUGUAAUCAAGACGUUUCUCCAUCAAGAACUCUAUGCAUUUCUUGUUCCCCAUCCUAGAUACUUGUUCAGCCAAAUAUAACCUUGUUAAGAGACAAUGCUUAUAAUAUUUCAUGUGUUAUAUUAAUUAUAAAGUCCCUCACCAUGUAAUAUCAACCAGUUCUCCCUUUAUCUCUUUUGUGUUCGAAUAUAUACCUGAGCACUUUGUAUUACAACACUUGUAACUGAUGUUCUUCCCAGAGCAAAAACAGUUUAUCACUUACUUGUACUUGCUAGGUAUAAUUCCACACUGCUGCCGAUGACCAUCUUCAUCUACUAACCAGGUCCUCCAGUGCCCUGGCACUCCAUUAAACAUGGUGUUAUCAACAUAAAGGACAUCAUCUUUGCGAAAUCGAAGUUGUAACGAAUCACCAAGAUCUCCAACACGAUCAAACAUAGUGCGUAUAUAAAAACUGUCUCCUGGUUUGUCCUUAACUUCAUUAUAACCUGCAACAGCAAUGAUUCUUUGUAAUAAGCAUGAACAGUGUGCAGGCUACUGUCUGUUACUUAUGAGAAAAACUUUUGAUUGUAGCAGUGAAGAUUAACUUGGUGCGGAGACAUACGAAUCUUGUCAAAAAUAUAAGGAUUUAAUUCAACAUAAUAAAGAGUCUCAACAAA